AACGAACGCUGGCGGCAGGCUUAACACAUGCAAGUCGAGCGCCCCGCAAGGGGAGCGGCAGACGGGUGAGUAACGCGUGGGAAUCUACCCAUCUCUACGGAAUAACGCAUGGAAACGUGUGCUAAUACCGUAUACGUCCUUCGGGCGAAAGAUUUAUCGGAGAUGGAUGAGCCCGCGUUGGAUUAGCUAGUUGGUGGGGUAAAGGCCUACCAAGGCGACGAUCCAUAGCUGGUCUGAGAGGAUGAUCAGCCACACUGGGACUGAGACACGGCCCAGACUCCUACGGGAUGCAGCAGUGGGGAAUAUUGGACAAUGGGCGCAAGCCUGAUCCAGCCAUGACGCUUGAGUGAUGAAGGCCCUAGGGUUGUAAAGCUCUUUCACCGGUGAAGAUAAUGACGGUAACCGGAGAAGAAGCCCCGGCUAACUUCGUGCCAGCCGCCGCAGUAAUAC
rnacentral:rRNA from 1 species